AAAGCUCACGAGUCGGCACAAGGAUGGGGAGGUCACUCCGCUAUUACCUCCGUGGGCAAAACAGACUUAACCUGGGGAAAUCAGUGCGAUUGAUUAGCAGUCAAGUCAGAGCAGAAGAAUGAGCAGGAAAAGCAAAUCUUCAAAACACCUUCCCUCCAGCCCCCACUUCUACUGGGCUUAACUUUACUCCCGAUUUCCCUGUCUCUUCCCCGCUGGGGAUGGGGAACGACAGCUGCUGUCAGUUGAUCACACGUCAUUUCUUCUUCUUUCUCCUCCUCUUCCUCCUCCUCCCCAAACCUUGCCAUGCAAACCCAUCAUGUUUUGAUUCCCUAGCUCUCCAUCCUAUUCUUCUGUCCUGCUCCCUCUUCCCUUCUGCCUUUAUCUCUCAUUCUGCUGUUCCCUUCUCUUUUACUCUCUCUGCUUUUGUCCUACUCCCUCUACUUCUCUUUUCUUCAUCUUCCGUCUCUGUCUUGCAGCCCAGGGCUGGUUUUCCCUUUACAUCUCUGUUCUCAUCUGUAUCUGUCUCUUUUUAGGCUUUCUUCUUUUUUUCUACCCGCUGCCUCCCCCCAGUGUCUCUGGUCUGUUCCCUGGCAUUCUUUUCCUCCCUGCACCUGUACAUGCUGCUCGGGGUCCUGGGAGAUGUCUGAAGGCGGGGGACAUGUCAGGAAAGUCUGUGUCCAAAGAGGUGAUGCCAUGAAAGGAUGGGAUAAGAAAACCUGAUGCCCUGAGCACAUCAUUUCCAGAGAAACAUGUUGCCUAUACACCUUCAUUUGGGAGGUGGACGGAUGAAGAAAUCCCAAAAAGUGGAGAGCAGAAGCAUGCCCCUGGGAUUCACGCUAACUUUGAAAAUCUCGUGUGAACAAGUAAAGGUGCUGCAGCAAAUAUGCAAGCUUUGUUUGAUUUCAUAGGCAGAGGUGAAUUACAGUUUUUAAAAGCCCUGACUAGCACAUACUGUUGCACGCAGCAACUGUCACUGCCUUCCUCAUGCUGCUGUGACAGCUCAAGGCAUGUCAGCAGUUUUGCAGUAAGCACUGAUGUAAUGUUACAGCCAAGAAAUUACAUAUAUGAAAGAUAAGAAUAUCAGUUCCACAGCAACUGUGUGUUUGCAUGAUGGAGCCCUGCUUUCGUGGAGAUGGCUGAAUGCCUGCCUGCUGAUGGGAAGUAGCGAAUGGAUUCCUUGUUUUGUUUUGCUUGUGUGUGCGGCUUCUGCUUUACCUAUUAAACUGUCUUUAUCUCA